UACGUAGGGUGCAAGCGUUGUCCGGAAUUAUUGGGCGUAAAGAGCUCGUAGGCGGUCUGUCGCGUCGGCUGUGAAAACCCGGAGCUCAACUCCGGGCCUGCAGUCGAUACGGGCAAACUGGAGUGUUGCAGGGGAGACUGGAAUUCCUGGUGUAGCGGUGAAAUGCGCAGAUAUCAGGAGGAACACCGAUGGCGAAGGCAGGUCUCUGGGCCGAUACUGACGCUGAGGAGCGAAAGCGUGGGGAGCGAACAGG
rnacentral:rRNA from 1 species